AGCCAUGUGGUGUAUUACACAUCGAAUUGCAAAUUCGAAGAAGCAGCUUCAAUCCUGCCCCGGCUU
rnacentral:tRNA from 1 species